CAGAGUUGCAAAACUCCCAACCCUUUGCGAACACACUGCAGCAGUUGCUUCGGCGGACUGCCCCUGGCGGACCGCCGAAGGGAUACAAACUCUUGUUCAUUUUGGCAUCUCUGAGUGACUUUACAAUAAGUUA
rnacentral:misc_RNA from 1 species